UGCGUAGGCGGUUCGGUAAGUUAGAUGUGAAAGCCCAAGGCCCAACCUUGGAACUGCAUCUGAUACUGCCGGACUAGAGUACAUGAGGGGAGAGCGGAAUUCUUGGUGUAGCGGUGAAAUGCGUUGAUAUCAAGAAGAACACCGGUGGCGAAGGCGGCUCUCUGGAAUGUUACUGACGCUGAGGCACGAAAGCUGGGGGAGCAAACA
rnacentral:rRNA from 1 species